AGAGUUUGAUCCUGGCUCAGGACGAACGCUGGCGGCGUGCUUAACACAUGCAAGUCGAACGGUGAAGUCCCUUCGGGGGCGGAUCAGUGGCGAACGGGUGAGUAACACGUGGGCAAUCUGCCCCUCACUGUGGGAUAACUCCGGGAAACCGGGGCUAAUACCGCAUAUGAAGCCUGGCGGCAUCGCCGGGUUUGGAAAGUUUUUCGGUGAGGGAUGAGCCCGCGGCCUAUCAGCUUGUUGGUGAGGUAGUGGCUCACCAAGGCGACGACGGGUAGCCGGCCUGAGAGGGCGACCGGCCACACUGGGACUGAGACACGGCCCAGACUCCUACGGGAGGCAGCAGUGGGGAAUAUUGGGCAAUGGGCGAAAGCCUGACCCAGCGACG
rnacentral:rRNA from 1 species